AGUGAUCGCUGGCGGUAGGCCUAACACAUGCAAGUCGAACGGCAGCACAGUAAGAGCUUGCUCUUACGGGUGGCGAGUGGCGGACGGGUGAGGAAUACAUCGGAAUCUACUUUUUCGUGGGGGAUAACGUAGGGAAACUUACGCUAAUACCGCAUACGACCUACGGGUGAAAGCAGGGGAUCUUCGGACCUUGCGCGAUUGAAUGAGCCGAUGUCGGAUUAGCUAGUUGGCGGGGUAAAGGCCCACCAAGGCGACGAUCCGUAGCUGGUCUGAGAGGAUGAUCAGCCACACUGGAACUGAGACACGGUCCAGACUCCUACGGGAGGCAGCAGUGGGGAAUAUUGGACAAUGGGCGCAAGCCUGAUCCAGCCAUACCGCGUGGGUGAAGAAGGCCUUCGGGUUGUAAAGCCCUUUUGUUGGGAAAGAAAAGCAGCAGGUUAAUACCCCGCUGUUCUGACGGUACCCAAAGAAUAAGCACCGGCUAACUUCGUG
rnacentral:rRNA from 1 species